rnacentral:rRNA from 1 species
GAUGAACGCUGGCGGCGUGCCUAAUACAUGCAAGUCGAGCGAACAGAUGAGGAGCUUGCUCCUCUGACGUUAGCGGCGGACGGGUGAGUAACACGUGGAUAACCUACCUAUAAGACUGGGAUAACUUCGGGAAACCGGAGCUAAUACCGGAUAAUAUAUUGAACCGCAUGGUUCAAUAGUGAAAGACGGUUUUGCUGUCACUUAUAGAUGGAUCCGCGCCGCAUUAGCUAGUUGGUAAGGUAACGGCUUACCAAGGCAACGAUGCGUAGCCGACCUGAGAGGGUGAUCGGCCAAACUGGAACUGAGACACGGUCCAGACUCCUACGGGAGGCAGAAGUGGGGAAUCUUCCGCAAUGGGCGAAAGCCUGACGGGGCAACGCGGCGUGAGUGAUGAAGGUCUUCGGAUCGUAAAACUCUGUUAUUAGGGAAGAACAAAUGUGUAGUAACUAUGCACGUCUUGACGGUACCUAAUCAGAAAGCCACGGCUAACUACGUG